rnacentral:rRNA from 1 species
GACGAACGCUGGCGGCGUGCUUAACACAUGCAAGUCGAACGGAAAGGCCCUGCUUUUGUGGGGUGCUCGAGUGGCGAACGGGUGAGUAAAACGUGAGUAACCUGCCCUUGACUUUGGGAUAACUUCAGGAAAAUGGGGCUAAUACCGGAUAGGAGCUCCUGCUGCAUGGUGGUGGUUGGAAAGAUUCGGCGGUGGGGGAUGGACUAGCGGCUUAUCAGCUUGUUUGUGGGGUAGUGGCUUACCAAGGCUUUGACGGGUAGCCCGCCUGAGAGGGUGACCGGCCACAUUGGGACUGAGAUACGGCCCAGACUCCUACCGGAGGCAGCAGUGGGGAAUAUUGCACAAUGGGCGGAAGCCUGAUGCAGCAACGCCGCGUGCGGGAUGACGGCCUUCGGGUUGUAAACCGCUUUCGCCUGUGACGAAGCGUGAGUGACGGUAAUGAGUAAAGAAGCACCGGCUAACUACGUG